rnacentral:rRNA from 1 species
GGCGAAGGAUGCAAGCGUUAUCCGGAUUCAUUGGGUUUAAAGGGUGCGUAGGCGGUUCUGUAAGUCAGUGGUGAAAUCCGGCAGCUCAACUGUCGAUGUGCCAUUGAUACUGCAGAACUUGAGUACAGACGAGGUAGGCGGAAUUGACGGUGUAGCGGUGAAAUGCUUAGAUAUCGUCAAGAACACCGAUAGCGAAGGCAGCUUACUAGACUGUAACUGACGCUGAUGCACGAAAGUGUGGGGAUCAAACAGG